rnacentral:rRNA from 1 species
UGAGGAAUAUUGGUCAAUGGGCGCAAGCCUGAACCAGCCAUCCCGCGUGCAGGAAGACGGCGCUAUGCGUUGUAAACUGCUUUUACAGGGGGUGAAUAUCACUGACGUGUCGGUGAUUGACGGUACCCUGGGAAUAAGCAUCGGCUAACUCCGUG